UACAGAGACCUCAAGCGUUAUCCGGAUUUAUUGGGCGUAAAGCGCGUGUAGGCGGGCUUAUUAGUCAGAUGUCAAAUCUCCGAGCUCAACUCGGAAACUGCAUUUGAAACGGUAAGUCUGGAGAGAGCGAGAGACCAAUGGAACGUAUGGUGUAGCAGUGAAAUGCGUUGAUAUCAUACGGAACGCCAAAGGCGAAGGCAUUUGGUUGGCGCUCAUCUGACGCUGAGACGCGAAAGCGUGGGUAGCGAAUGGG
rnacentral:rRNA from 1 species